ACAGUCACACAUUAGAUACCCCUGUAGUCCUAGCCGUAAACGAUACUCGCUAGGUGUCGGCCACGGUGCGACCGUUGUCGGUGCCGUAGGGAAGCCGUGAAGCGAGCCGCCUGGGAAGUACGGCCGCAAGGCUGAAACUUAAAGGAAUUGGCGGGGGAGCACGACAACGGGUGGAGCUUGCGGUUUAAUUGGAUUCAACGCCGGAAAUCUUACCGGGACCGACAGCAACAUGAAGGCCAAGCUGAAGACUUUGCCGGAUUAGCUG
rnacentral:rRNA from 1 species